GAUGAAGAACGCAGCGAACGUGCGAAACGUAAUGUGAAUUGCAGAAUUCAGUGAAUCAUCGAAUCUUUGAACGCAUCUUGCGCUCCUUGGUAUUCCGAGGAGCAUGCCUGUUUGAGUGUCGUGAAUACUCUCAACUUCAACCCUUUUUUCGGAAAGGGAGGAAGGUUGGACUUGGGUGUUUGUUGAAGUGCGAGCUUCGACUCAUCCUAAAUGCAUUAGCGAUCUGCCUCGAUCACACACAAAGUGAUAAUUAAAACUAAAGCAUUGUUUAAUGAUCAAGUCGAGACUGCUUCUAACUGUCGCAAGACAAUAACGUGCAUACAUUUGUGCAUGUCAUUUGACCUCAAAUCAGGUAGGACUACCCGCUGAACUUAAGCAUAUCAAUAAGCGGAGG
rnacentral:misc_RNA from 1 species